rnacentral:lncRNA from 1 species
AUGAAGCUCUUACACAGAAGGAACAAAACUGCCCAGGAUUUUCUCAGUGUGCUCUGGAAAGCUGGCCAACUGAAAGAGAACUUGAAGGUCCCUGCAGAGAUUUCCUUCACAAUGUAUCCAAGUGGUUCACUUGAAUGGACUUGCCAUAACAGGCAAGUUAGUAUCCCUGAGACAUCCCAAAAAUUUUAAAAAAAUCUUUCUUACAUCCUUACAUUUAUUUACUCCCUCAAAAGAUAUGUAUCAGGCUCAUACCAUGAUUCUCCAAUUACCAAGAUGCCCUUCAACAGACGAAUGGAUAAGGAAGAUGUGGUCCAUGUACACUAUGGAGUAUUAUGCCUCCAUCAGAAAGGACGAAUACCCAACUUUUGUAGCAACAUGGACGGGACUGGA